rnacentral:hammerhead_ribozyme from 1 species
ACUUAGCUGAAGAGUCCCAAACAGAACGAAACGCGCGUCCUGGAU